rnacentral:ncRNA from 1 species
CAAAAGUUUGGUCCUGACUUUAUUAUCAACUUUAACAAGAUUUAUACAUGCAAGUAUCCGCGAUCCCGUGAGGAUGCCCUAUGUGCUCCCGCCCGGAGCCAAGGAGCCGGUAUCAGGCUCACCCCCGCAUCUUAUACCCCAAUAUUUUGUUUCCCGCCCAUGACGCCUUGCUUAGCCACACCCCCAAGGGUAUUCAGCAGUGAUAAACUUUGAGCCAUAAGCGAAAGCUUGACUCAGUCAAAGUUAAGAGAGUUGGUCAAUUCUCGUGCCAGCCGCCGCGGUUAAACGGGGGACUCGAGUUGAUAAUCACCGGCGUAAAGCGUGGUUAGACAUACUAAAAAACUAAAGCCGAAAACACUCACAGCAGUCAUACGCAGGAAGGUUAUAAGUCCACUUACGAAAGUAGCUUUAAAACAUCUUGAAUCCACGAAAACUGGGGAACAAACUGGGAUUAGAAACCCCACUAUGCUCAGUCCUAAACACAGACGGGACAAUACGAACCCGUUCGCCUGGUAACUACGAGCUCGUCAAAUUUCAAGCUUAAAAGCCAAAGGACUUGGCGGUGCUUCAAACCCCCCUAGAGGAGCCUGUUCUAUAACCGAUAAUCCCCGUUAAACCUCACCCUUCCCAGCCCACUCCAGCUUAUAUACCGCCGUCGUCAGCUUACCCCGUGAGGGUCUUUUUAACACAUAAACAAAAAGUAGGCAAAAUUGGUUCAUCCCCAGCAAGUCAGGUCGAGGUGUAGCAUAAGGAAGGGGAAGAAAUGGGCUACAUUCUCUAAUGCAGAGAACACAGCGGAUCGUCCUGAAACAAGACAUCCAAAGGUGGAUUUAGCAGUAAGAGGGAAGCAGAGUGCCCCUCUGAAGACGGCCCUGAAGUGCGUACACACCGCCCGUCACUCUCCCCAAGCACUGUCGCAGCACCUAAAUAAAAAGUUAGAUAAGCACAGGGGAGGCAAGUCGUAACAUGGUAAGUGUACCAGAAGGUGUACUUGGCAAAC